rnacentral:lncRNA from 1 species
GCAUUUUCACGUACAACAGAGUUUUGGGAGAAAGCAAGAGAAAACCAAGAGAAGAGCCAAGUAGGAAGAUUCUGAUUUUUGGAGAGUUUUGUUCAUCAAAUCAAGGUAAGGGUGAGACUAUCUCUCAAUGAUAAUGGUUAUAUAAUUUCUGAUUUUGGUUUAGCAAGGUUCUAGUUGAAAUUAGGAAAUUAGAGGUUAGGUUUUGGAGUAUGAUUUUUGAAUUAAAAAGUGUAGAAUCCAUGACAUUAGUGUUAGAAUAUGUUCAGGUCGUAGACAGAAAUUUAUUACACUUCUAUAAUUUGUUUUGCGGAUUGAAAUUGAGAAAAUUGGGAUUUUUGGGAAAAACCUGCACUCUGCCCGUACAGAUCUUCAUCGCUCGCCCCGCGAGUAGCUUGUCUCGCCUCGCGAGCAAGACCACUCGCCAUAGCGAGUAAGUGAGUGAGAGAUCAUGAUUUUCAAAUUGUUGUUAUAAGACGUAAGUUGGAUAGUUUUGAGUGCCUGGAUGUUUUUAGAGAGGACUGAGACAAUUUUUAGAUUAAAGAUGAUUAGAGAGCUUAAGAAUGAAGAUUUAGUGAGAAAAAUGUCAAAACUCCCGAGAGCAUCAUUUUCUUGCUCGCCACGUACUCGCCAUAGCGAGUAACCCAUUUCUUGAGUUCGCCAUAGCGAGCAGAUGUACUCGCGAGGCGAGUUGCCCUGUACCUGAAGCCGUUUUUAUGUAUUUGAAUAUUGUUGGUUGGAUUUUGUGUAGGACAAAUAGUUAUGAUUAAUUGUGCUAUUUUACCGGAGCUGUUGAAUUAAGUAUGAUGAAUUGUUGAUUGUUGUUAUGUAUAUUUAUAUUUAAAUAAAUUAUACAAGUUGUUGAAUUUCAUUUCAAAGGUUAAUGUAUCAUUGGUUGACUAUGUUGUGGUGUAAGUCAUAUUCAUAUAUAUAUAUAUAUAUGCAUUGUUGAGUACCAGUUGUCGUCGUUCAUGUUGUCGUUGUGUUGUAGUUGAGUUGUAUGUUGAUAUACACAAGUGGAGUUCAUUGCAUAAUCAUAAACUAUUGAGGGCUCAUGCCCUGGAACGCCUUGUCGUUCAAUUGUUGAGGGCUUAUGCCCUGUGAAUGCUAGUUCAUUCAAACCGUUGAGGGCUCAUGCCCUGUGAAUGCUUUAACCAUUCAAACUGUUGAGGGCUCAUGCCUUGAAAUUCCUUGUCAUUCAAACGUGUUAAAUGGUACCACAUGCAUGUGCAUUGUCGCAUUUUAUUUUUUAGUCAUAGUAGUGUUGUCAUGUCAUUGCAUAAGUCGUUGUUGGUUGAAAUUGCCGGAUGUUGAUAAUGUUGUUGAUCAUGAAAUAUAUAAAUAUAUUGAUGUAUUGUUGUUAUUUAGGGUGUUAGAUUCAAUCGAUGAAUUAUAUAUCUAUUAUUGUUGUUUGUGAAUCUCACCCCUUCUGCUUGAAAAUGUUGUCCUUCGUAUGUGUAACUUGCAGGUGAUGAAGAGUAGUAGAAGUGGUGGCUCAAGUGUCUUAGGGCUCUGAUACGUAACGGGAUGGGAUAUUGUUGUUUUAUUUCCAUUCCUUAUGUAUCAAUUUUGGAACAUGUUGUUGGAGCCUUUAUUGUUGUUGAACAAAUUGUUGAUGAUUAUUUAUGUUGAGGCCUUUGU